CUCCAGAGGUGACCCGGGCAAUUACAGACCAGACAGAUUUCAACUUCUGAACCAGCAGUCAACAAAGAUUCCCCCAGCUGCUGAAAAAAGGAAAUCAAUAUGGGCGCUAUUCAUCUCAGAUCUGCAUGAGCCCACAACACUAUGUCUCUGCCACCUAGGUGCACCAGUCGUUAGGAUGCAGGUCUUAAGUAUUGAUACCACAGGUGAAUUCAAAACAGGGCCACA